AACGAACGCUGGCGGCAGGCCUAACACAUGCAAGUCGAACGCAUCGCAAGAUGAGUGGCGCACGGGUGAGUAACACGUGGGAAUGUAUCCUUUGGUUCGGAAUAACGUCUGGAAACGGACGCUAAUACCGGAUGAGCCCUUAGGGGGAAAGAUUUAUCGCCGAAGGAGCAGCCCGCGUCUGAUUAGGUAGUUGGUGGGGUAAAGGCCUACCAAGCCGACGAUCAGUAGCUGGUCUGAGAGGAUGAUCAGCCACACUGGGACUGAGACACGGCCCAGACUCCUACGGGAGGCAGCAGUGGGGAAUAUUGGACAAUGGGCGCAAGCCUGAUCCAGCCAUGCCGCGAGAGUGAUGAAGGCCUUCGGGUUGUAAAGCUCUUUCGCACACGACGAUGAUGACGGUAGUGUGAGAAGAAGCCCCGGCUAACUUCGUGCCAGCCGCCGCGGUAAAAC
rnacentral:rRNA from 1 species